UUUGAACUUUUAUGGUGUCUUCUCUUCCAUAUUGGUUGCAAUCAGUUCAAUGCUCUAAAACACAGUUGGUCUCAGAUCUUUUGGUUGAUCAUUCCCCUGAAGUCUUUCUUUUGAAGGAGGCAUUGGAACGACAUUCCUGCUAUUCAAAGAAAUCAUACUUGCUGGUGUGCAGUUACAUUGGCUCUGUGUUGUUGACCCAUCAACUGAUGAUCGUCAUGACCGAGGUGCGCUGGCAGAAUCACAGGUGUUCCACACUGUAAUGAUCCACUGUGUCAUUUGCUGCCCUCGAACAAGCACCAAGGAAGGAGGAAGCAUAAAGGAGACCAAAGUAACUUUGACAAGAAGACACUAGCAGGGCCAAUGGAGAUAAGAUGGUAUUUGGGGGAAAUUGUGAAAAUGAUGUAUUGGGUGAGAAGUACUUUCAGAAAGAUGGAGCAAGGAUCUCCAAAACCCUAUUUCUCCACAAAAAGCAAAAAGAACACUGGCAAAAAUGAUCAAAAUCAACUUUUUCAGAACUCUGAAAAUUAAGUAAAGGCUUGUAAGAGCUUGAAGAGCCUUUAUUCAACUGAA